rnacentral:lncRNA from 1 species
CCUUUACUUUCUUGGUUAAUAAUACCUUUCAGUAUUGAUGGCAGAAAUACAGUCUGGAUGAACUGGUCAUAAUCAGUUGGCAAAGAGGGAUCUAUAGUAAUUAAUAGUGAAUUUUUCCUUUUCAGGUUCUAAGUCCCCUGAUUUCUGGUCAACAGUUUGUCCACCAUCAGACACUCGGACAAAAUGUACAAACAAGGCAAAACUAUAAUUUACCAAAAAAAAAGAAAAAAAAAGAAUGUGUUCUCUCAUAGUACAGAUUAUGGAGUGAAUUAUUGCAAUGAAUGACUAGUUACGUGGCAUUGAGCAAAUUGCUUAAUCUUUCUCAUCACUUUAACUGUAAAACAAAAGACUAGUAACAUCUCUUUCAAUUAUAAAAU